AUGAAACAACAGAAAACAUAGCAACCGUUUCGCUGUAUGAGUAGAAGCGCAUUUUACACUAAUCACCAGCAGUUCUUCACCACCUGUUGCUAUUUGUUCGGUGUUGUUCCCCGUUGUGUGUUAUAGGUUGGCCCAUAUAUGGAGGUUGAAAAACCAGCGUGACCUCAUUGCAUGCUGCACCGUACGAUACUGAGGUAGUAAGUUUCCAUGGAACCAUAACAACGGUACCAGUUGUUUGUUGGGAAAAAACAGCAGUGAAAAAUUUUUACUCCAAAAUCGUUCUCGACACGACACGGACGUGUAAUUGUAAUUAAGUGAAAGCUCUACGGUUGAUACAUCCCCAGCAAAAGAAAUUAACACAAAAUGGAUCAAAUAGAGGAAAGUGGUGAAGAUUCGCAGGCACCGGAAUCCACCUUCGAGGAUGAUCUGGUGCCGAAAGAAAUUACGGAUGAAUUUUUCGAGGAGCUGUGCUCCAAAGCUAAUCUGACUGUGAAAGAUCUGCAAGGAAAUGGGCAGUAUGGGUUAGCGGAAGACUUCCAGAAAUUACUCAUUACGGGUCAAAAUUUGCGUCAGCAGCUAAUCGAAGAGCAGGACCGAAUCGCAAAAAUGCAGGACGAAGUUUCGGCCGCCUCGGGACGGGUGGCACAGGCAAUGCAACUUUCCCAGCGUGACCAGGACACCAUCCAGACGCUGAAAUCGGAAAUUCAGGAUGCGUGGAAGCGUGCCGAUGCUGCCCAAACGCGCGAACAAAACGUACAGGAAGCGAUGAAUCAGAUGCGAGAGAAGCUGGAAAAACUACAUGCCGAAAGUGAUCGUUACGGUGAUCGGGACGAUGAUGUCGGUUCGACGAUGAACAAACAUAAGGAGGGUAUCUUGCGCGAGCGCGAUCGCUUGUAUGUGGAGGUAGAAGAGCUGAACCGUCGUCUCCACACGCAACGCUUGUACAUGGAGGAGCUGGAACAGAAAUGCUUCGAGUCGGAAACAAAGGUGAAGGAGCUAUACAAGGUGCUGGAUGAAACGUCGAACGAAGCGUUUCGGGACAAGCGCCAGCUCGAGAGCCUGCAAACACAGCACACCGAAGUUACCGCAGAGCUAGCAACGAAAACGGAGGAAGCAAAGCAUUUCAAAGCACUUUCAGAAUCGAACCACAAAACCAUCGUACAGCAGAGCAUGCAAAUGGCAGCGAUACGCACGAACUAUGAGCGUGUUAUGACCACCAGCAAUCUUACCCAGGUGAAGCUGGCCAAAUCCCAAGCGGACUAUGAUAAUAUGGUGCAGCUGAAGGAAAAGGUGACGAACGAGCUGAACACGAAGGUGAACAUUUUGAAGCUGAAAGAAGACGAAAACAACAAAUUUCGGUUGGAAAAUGCUAAGCUGCUAAAGACGCGAGAGUUGCUACAGAAGCGUAUACAAACAAUCGAAGCAACAAAGGGAACACUGGAUCAGGAAGUGGCCAAAUUUAAGAAUACGAUCGUGACAUUUGAGAAAGAGCGGGACGCUUCUAAAAAAUCAUUCGAUGUGGCACGUAAGCAAGUCGAUGCAAUGCUCCGGGAACGAGAUCUGGUUCGAAAAGAUCUUGUAAAGGCGACUAAAACAAUUUCCGACCAAACGGAACAAAUGACACUGCUCGAUAAGCACCAGAAAACGUUGGAGAACGAAAUCAAAGCACACCAGGCCGCGGCCCAAAAGCAGCUAACGCUAAUGCUCAAGGUAGAGAAAGAUCGGGACCGGAAUGCGGAAGAGGUCCAGAAUCUGUCGGACAGAAUCGAGCAGCUGAACGAGGAUUUGCUGUACAAGCAGAAUCUGAUCGGUGAGUUGCGCGAAAAGCUGAAGGAAUGUGAAGCAAAGCUGUUCCAGUGUCAAAACCUGCUGGAAAUUACCCGUGGCGAGCGUAACAUUUUCGAGCGCGAUUUGAUGACCUGCAGCAAAGAGACGGAAAGUUUGAAGGAACGGUUGAAAAAUGCGAUCCGCACGGUGGAUCAGCUGAAGGAGGAAAAUGCCAACAAGAUAGCGGACCUGUUCAAAGCGAACAAAACGAUCGAUAAGGUGGAAAAGGAGAAGCAAUCGCUUAAAACCGACGUGCAGAACAUAAGCAUCGCAUUGCAACAUUCGAAAUCGGAGCUGAGCGAAAAGACGAACGAAAAUGCACGGCUUAAUAAAACACUUUCGGACGAUGCAACAAAUAUGACGCGUUUGAAAAAACAACUGGAGGGAGCCAUCAACGAGAAGGAUCUUGUAAAGGUGCAGCUUACCCAGCGCGUGGAAGAGAUCAACAAUCUGACGGAAAAGUUAAACAUGCUUAACAUGGCACUGGACCGCGGGGAAAACCAGUACCGUGACCGUUUGGAUGACAUUCGGCUGCUAAAGAUUGAGAUUAGCAAUUUGCGUUCGCAGCGCAAUCUACUAACACGCGGACUUGCUAAUACGGCCGACAUGCGGCAGGAAGUGUUGCAGCUAAAUCGUGUGUUGAAUCAGGAACGCGUGAAGGCACGUGCACUGGAGGACGAAAUGUUGACACCGAUGAAUGUGCACCGUUGGCGCAAGUUGAGCGGCAAGGAUCCGGAAAAGAUGGACCUUAUUGUGAAGGUGCAAACGCUGCAGCGCCGUGUACUGUACCAGUCGGUGACGGUGUCGGAGCAGGAGAAAACACUUCAACAGUCGGAGAAAAUGUACGAUGCGCUGAAGGAGGUGGUAGAGAAACUGCCCAGCCAUAAGGUCAAGGAACGGUUGUCCGCUACCCAACGGGCGUUGACUGCGCGCACAAAGAAGCUGAAGGCACUUGCAGCAGAAAUACGCAUCAAGGAACUCGACUGCAAAUCGAAAGAUUGUACACUGGAGCAGCUGAAGCAGGCACUGCUGGAUACAAAGAAGGAACUGGUAAAAGAGAAGCGUGAAAAAAUAAAGCUCGUCGAGAAUAUCCGUGGCCAUCGGGCGGAUGGUCCUCCCCUAACGGGGGCCAACACGAGCAGUGAUAUCAUCGUAAUACGUACGACCAGCCAAACUGCCCACACAUCCAGCUAUCGUACGCUCGGUUCGGGGUUUAAGGCAAUCUGUUAAGCUUGUGCUGCAACUGGUAACGAUGCGGUAAAGCGAAGGCUUAAUAAUUCCAUCACAACAAAUUGCGACCCAUUCCUAGCUGAUAGCGCUAGCGCAGCGAGGUUUGUAAGAUGUGUGAAAAUAAAUAUUAGUACAACGACA